rnacentral:rRNA from 1 species
UGGGGAAUAUUGGACAAUGGGCGAAAGCCUGAUCCAGCCAUGCCGCGUGUGUGAAGAAGGCCUUCGGAUUGUAAAGCACUUUAAGUUGGGAGGAAGGGCAGUAAGCGAAUACCUUGCUGUUUUGACGUUACCGACAGAAUAAGCACCGGCUAACUCUGUGCCAGCAGCCGCGUUAAUACAGAGGGUGCAAGCGUUAAUCGGAAUUACUGGGCGGAAAGCGCGCGUAGGUGGUUCGUUAAGUUGAAUGUGAAAGCCCCGGGCGCAACCCGGGAAGUGAAUCCAAAGCUGGCGGACUAGAGUAGGGCAGAGGGUGGUGGAAUUUCCUGUGUAGCGGUGAAAUGCGUAGAUAUAGGAAGGAACACCAGUGGCGAAGGCGACCACCGGGACUAAUACUGACACUGAGGUGCGAAAGCGUGGGGAGCAAACAGG